rnacentral:rRNA from 1 species
GAUGAACGCUAGCGGCGGGCUUAAUACAUGCAAGUCGAGGGGCAGCACGAUGUAGCAAUACAUUGGUGGCGACCGGCGGACGGGUGCGUAACACGUAUGCAACUUGCCCUAUACUGGGGGAUAGCCCGAAGAACUUCGGAUUAAUACCCCAUAACAUCAGAACAAGCAUUUGUUUUGGUUCAAAACUCCGGUGGUAUAGGAUGGGCAUGCGGUCGAUUAGCUUGUUGGUGAGGUAACGGCUCACCAAGGCGACGAUCGAUAGGGGGCCUGAGAGGGUGAUCCCCCACACUGGUACUGAGACACGGACCAGACUCCUACGGGAGGCAGCAGUAAGGAAUAUUGGUCAAUGGGCGAAAGCCUGAACCAGCCACGCCGCGUGAAGGAAGACGGCCCUAUGGGUUGUAAACUUCUUUUGUACGAGAAUAAACCUCAGGACGUGUCCUGAGCUGAAGGUACCGUACGAAUAAGGAUCGGCUAACUCCGUGCCAGCCGCCGCAGUAACAC